GAAGCCAGUUUUUGUUGGUUCUGAACGCCUCAGGCAGUCCUCAAUCGUCCUAGCAACACAAGCCUGCUGAGAUAUGAUUAGAUAAAGACUUUACAAUAAUAUACAACACUGGAAGCGGCGAAAUCAAGCGGAAAUAAUGAGACGAAGAAAAUACACCAUGGGGAAUUUAUUUUAUUUACCAAAAACAACUUUUCACAGUAUGUUGGGGCUAGCAGAAAAGUUAGCUGCCCCUGGCAACCGUAGUGUCAGUAGUGAAGGACUUCCUCGCUGUCUCCAACGUCUGCGUCUCUCCUGCGUUUUCACGCACGUCCGUGCAUGUGCAUAAAUGCCAUGGAAACCGCUGACGCGAAAUGGGUCGUCAUUUGCCCCAGGGCCUUGUGAAGCUCUGGAGUCGCUUCAAGCGUUGGAGAAACCGGAGGAUCCAGCCGGAGCAGCCGGUGGGCGAAGGUGGUCCAGAUGGGCCUAACGGCGUCCACGUCCAUCCUUCACCCACUCCUCAGGUGGGUGACUCAUACACACCCCAUCCACCUUCUCCUCCCGCUCUCUUGUUUUUUGGUCUGCU